rnacentral:misc_RNA from 1 species
UUUCCGUAGGUGAACCUGCGGAAGGAUCAUUAACAAAAAAAUAAAAUCCACCUUAGGAAAAACCUGGAGAAGAAAUUCAAAGGGUUUUUCCUUAAGCAAACAGUGAACUUUGUUAAAGUUUCUAACAAGAUCUACCAAUCUAAAUUUAUUUAGAAAGGUAGUUUCUUUUUAAAAACAAACUUGUUUAAUUUAUUUUGUCUUAUCCUUCUUAAACUAAAUUGGUCUUUAUUGAUCUUUUUGGAAAGAAUAUUUAAAUCAAAAGUAACAACUUUUAACAACGGAUAUCUUGGCUCUU